UUAAUUUUAAACAUUAACUGUAAUCAAUUUUUUAAAUCUGUUCUUGUCAGUUUAAUCGCUGACCUGUCCUUUCUGUGAGGACUGUGUCAUGAAUUGAUUUUGGAAACAGGGGGAUGGGUUGCUCCAUCCGCCUCGUGCAUAGAUCUGGUAUUGCAGUGCCGCCGGGAAUGGUGCGUCUCCU
ensembl:snRNA U2 U2 spliceosomal RNA